GCCUGGGUGGCUCAGUCGGUCGAGCAUCCGACUUCGGCUCAGGUCAUGAUCUCAUAGUUCGCGGGUUCCAGCCCCGCAUUGGGCU
rnacentral:tRNA from 1 species